CUCAAAUUCAGCCUUAAGAAUAUACUCAACGGUCAGACUGUAAGAAAAGAUAGAUUAAGGAGGGCAUAAUCCUUGUUUGAAGUAGAGUGAAAAUUAAUUGCUAUGCAGUCUGAGACACAGAAAGGAACUUAUACCAAACAUUGGGGAACAAUGUCAGGUUCUGGAACAUUGCCAGUCUCUGAAAUUCCACUCUUCUAAAAGUUAAUGCAAAGCAGGGGGAUAGGAAGUCCACAAGAAGAGAAGAACAGCAUAAGAUCAUCCUGAGUCUGAGGACAAAACGGUGAAUUUGGGAAGCUAAUAUAAGGAGAAAAAAAGAAGCCAUUUUGGCAUCCAUCACUGGACACAGACAAGAGGUCAGAGCUCUUGGAAGCUGAGAAAGAUGGGGCUGUCCUCUGAGUGGGCUGAAGUCUCUGGGAACAAAAGAUUGGCUGUCUGCAAUGAUCACCCUCCAGGCCCUGUCUGAUACAGCACGGACUUGCAGGGUCUCACUGAAAAUGUCAUCCCGAGUCCUCUUCCUUCUCCUCCUUAUCUGGUUCAGGCGUUCCACAGGUGCGGAAGGGGAACCCCUCAGGGCUGCCAUAGCAGCAGCUGCAGAUAAAGCACACAGAUGUUAUAGUCAGGAUAGUCACAACAGAAAGUGAAACUUAAGAUUCAGAACUCCCCACUCUUGCUCCCAUAAAGUUUUAAACAAGACCAGCUCAUUGCACUUCUGCUUGGAAGUGCCUGUGCACGGUGCCACUCACAGCACCAGCCAUGAUGGUGAUGAUUUUAGCUGAUCUCACUCCUGAGGGUAACAAAGGCACAGAGAGAACAGCUGCUGCUGGUGUCCUGAAGCCACCCAGGCCUGUAUGCUGCUAGCCUGCGUACUGCAAUGGUGCCUGCUAAAGUUGUUGCUCACUAGAGCAGGAGAGUGUCCUACCGCCAAGGAAGAAAUAAGGCUGCCAUCCCUAGAAACCUCUGGGAGAGGAUUGCAGAGAACCUACAUGAAAGUUUCAUUGAGACCUCUCAGGAGGAUUCAAGGGACAUCCCUGUGCACAUAAACUAACUGCUCUGCAUGCCCACCCUUGCUUUACUCUACAGUGGAAUAAA